CCUACGGGUGGCAGCAGUGAGGAAUAUUGGUCAAUGGCCGAGAGCCUGAACCAGCCAAGUAGCGUGAAGGAAGACUGCCCUACGGGUUGUAAACUUCUUUUGUAAGGGAAUAAAGUGAGGCACGUGUGACUCUUUGAAUGUACUUUAUGAAUAAGGAUCGGCUAACUCCGUGCCAGCAGCCGCGGUAAUACGGAGGAUCCGAGCGUUAUCCGGAUUUAUUGGGUUUAAAGGGAGCGUAGGUGGGUUGUUAAGUCAGUUGUGAAAGUUUGCGGCUCAACCGUAAAAUUGCAAUUGAUACUGGCAGUCUUGAGUACAGUUGAGGUGGGCGGAAUUCGUGGUGUAGCGGUGAAAUGCUUAGAUAUCACGAAGAACUCCGAUUGCGAAGGCAGCUCACUAAACUGCCACUGACAUUGAUGCUCGAAAGUGUGGGUAUCAAACAGGAUUAGAUACCCUUGUAGUC
rnacentral:rRNA from 1 species